CCUUUCAACAAAGGCAUUUCUUUGGUUCUCUGUCUUUGGACAUAUAAGCACUGGAGGAAAAGAAAUGUGGAUUUGGAGAAAUCUGGGGCCAGCUUGCUCCCUAUGGGCUCAGAAUCAAUCAUCUCACAUAG
ensembl:snoRNA